AGAUACAAUUGAUGAUGAGGAUUUAACCAUCGAAUUUUUAUUUUAUCAAAAAUGGCGCACAGGAGCAUAUUCUUUCUUAUUUACAUAAUCAGCUUGCUGGCCUUUUUCUUGUUCCCAUCUGAGAUGGUCCUAGCCAAACAAGUCCAAGUCCCUAAAACCAAAGAGCAGCCGAAAAAUUUUGAGGAAAGCAAAUCUAACACAGGUGAUCAUACUUCACCAAGCGGGCCAGGAAGCAGACAUGGCUAGAAGUUCCCCCCCCCCCCCGUCAGUAGCCUUCCUUAGCUGCUCCAUCGAAGGCUGUUUCUCUACAGAGGAUUAAUCGCUGCAAAAUAAGUAUAUAUAUAUACUUUGAUCGACCGUAUUAUAUAUUAUGUUAGUGAAAAAAUGUAUUGUAUUCUCA
rnacentral:misc_RNA from 1 species